CAUUCUUGCAUUCUUGGUGAUAUGGUCCAUGAUGAGAUUUCAAGUGUCUAAGACAAUAAGCUAAAGAUAUUUUACUUAGGUAAUACUGACUACUCAUGUAUAUCAAACUGUAUAUACUCAUGUAUAUCAAACUGUAUAGAACAUCCCAACAAGUAGAUCUGAAGAUGAGACUUUUCUCUCUUGUUUAGGAUGAUUGAGAUGUUCAUCUAAGGAGAUGGUCAAGCACCCCCAAAAAUAUCUAAGACUGAGAAAUAAAAGAUGAGAUUUAGAAAUGCAGUGUAAUCUUGCUCUCAAGGAACAACCUCCAGCUAUGUGAGAUCAUUCUAGGAAUUUAGGGUUUGAAUUGUGUAUGUUCCUGGCUCGUUCACAAAGGAAAAACAAACAAGGCACAAUGAGCAGUACAACACCUGUCCAGCCCCAGGUUGAGCUCUCCAAUGUCCUUAUAUACACACAAAAUAUAAGUAAAAAAAAAAUCAGUGACAGAAUUUUACCCCUUUCAUCUAGAUUCUUCAGCAUCCUAAAUAGAGAAAAUAAGAAAAUCACCUGGCACUCUGAAUUCCCUGUUCUUCCACUAGAGAUAUUCCACUAGUGCAGAGAGCAUAGGGCUUCCAGGCAGGAUAUAUAAAUAGUGGUGCUACUGGAUUCACCAAGUAUAUAUCCUUAAAACCCUCAUUUUGUUUCUCACCUUCUGAAGCAGAUAAAUGUAAAUUGAGACCCUAACCAAAGGGCAGGUAGGCACAGGAACCUUAAGAAAUUGAGAAAAGUUGUUAACAGGAAUCAUUUAAGAGAUGGAGGGACUUUGCAAGUAAAAAGAGAUUAAAAAGUAGGAUUAAACAGGUCUUGGAGAUGCCCCACCUAAAACAACACAACAGGAAAUGCACCAUCCUCUCCAAGGAGAGCCAGGGUCUCACCUGGAUCAUGCCCAGCUCCCAGGUCUGGCUGUCCUGGAUGAUAGGCAUGCUUUGCUAUAUCCAGCUGGGUCCCCAUGGUCUGGCAGCCUGUGAGUGAAGGAUACAUUUAAUCAUCUGCACUCAUUCUGUGUACACAUCCACACACACACAAUACCUGAUCUUUGUGUAAGAGAAAAAUAGAAAAUUGCAUUGAAACUUGUUAUUUAGCUUUACCACACACACCUCAGACCUCACAUGGAGCAUUAAUUUCUAGGAUAUAUAUAUAAAGAACUCAAAAAAUUUAACACCACAAAACCAAAUAACCCAAUCAAUAAGUGGGCAAAGAAACUGAACAGACACUUUACAGAAGAAGAAAUACAAUCAAUCAAUAAAUGUAUUGAAAAAUGUUCAACAUCUCUAGCAAUUAGAGAAAGGCAAAUCAAAACUACACUGAGUUUCCAUCUCACUCUAGCCAGAAUGGCAAUCAUCAAGAAUGCAAGGAUGUGGGGAGAAACGUACACUCAUACAUUGUUGGUGGGACUGCAAAUUGGUGCAACCACUCUGGAAAGAAGUAUGGAGAUUGCCCAGAAAACCUGGAAUGGAACCACCAUUUGUCCCAGUCAUCCCACUCCGAGGUUCAUAUCCAAAGGACUGAAAAUCAGUGUGCUACAGUGAUGCAGCCACGUCGAUGUUUAUAG
rnacentral:lncRNA from 1 species